UACGUAGGGGGCAAGCGUUGUCCGGAUUUAUUGGGCGUAAAGAGCGUGUAGGCGGCUUGGUAGGUCCGCUGUGAAAACUCGAGGCUCAACCUCGAGAUGUCGGCGGAAACCACUUGGCUAGAGUCCGGAAGAGGAGAGUGGAAUUCCUGGUGUAGCGGUGAAAUGCGCAGAUAUCAGGAAGAACACCUAUGGCGAAGGCAGCUCUCUGGGACGGUACUGACGCUGAGGCACGAAGGCCAGGGGAGCAAACGGG
rnacentral:rRNA from 1 species